GUUUUUUUCUUCUUCUUCUU
rnacentral:sRNA from 1 species